rnacentral:ncRNA from 2 species
AAUACAAUAAGUGAAAAUGGUGCAUAUGCUUAAAAGGGAACCUAGUGAAAAGCUGGGACUGUCCUCGCAACUGUAAAUGAUGUACGAAAUAAGUGAAUCCACUGUAUGGAAUCAUAUGGGAAGGGCUUAAAGUAGGAUGAUAUCAGAAGUCAGUAGACCUGCCUUUUCUCAUGUUUCAAU